GAUGAACGCUGGCGGCGUGCUUAACACAUGCAAGUCGAGCGAACAGAUGAGGAUCGUUCUCCGCUGACGUUAGCAACGGAUGGGUGAGUAACACGUGGAUAACCUACCUAUCAGACUGGGGUAACCUCGGCAACCCGGAGCUAAUACCGGAUAAUAUAUUCAACCGCAGGGUUCAAUAGUGAAUGAUGGGUUUGCUGUCACUUAUAGAUCGAUCCGCGCCGCAUUAGAGAGUUGGUGCGGUAACGGCUUACCAAGGCAACGAAGCGUAGCCGACCUGAGCGGGUGAUAGGCCACCGUGGAAGUGGGACACCGUCCAGACUGCUACGGGAGGACGCAGUAGCCUACUUUCGGCAGUAGGCGGGAGGAUUGCGCAGCAACGGCGCGUGGGUUGCGGAGGCAUUGCGGUCGGGAGGCAGUGGUAUCAGGGGGAAACAACUGUGUAUGUAGCAGAAGACGUAUUGACGGUACCUGAAGAAAAAGCAACGGCUAACUACGUG
rnacentral:rRNA from 1 species